UACGUAGGGUGCAAGCGUUGUCCGGAAUUAUUGGGCGUAAAGAGCUUGUAGGUGGUUUGUCGCGUCUGCUGUGAAAAUCCGAGGCUCAACCUCGGACUUGCAGUGGGUACGGGCAGACUAGAGUGUGGUAGGGGAGACUGGAAUUCCUGGUGUAGCGGUGAAUGCGUAGAUAUCAGGAGGAACACCGUAGUGGUGAGCUG
rnacentral:rRNA from 1 species